UACGGAAGGCAGCAGUGGGGAAUAUUGCACAAUGGGCGCAAGCCUGAUGCAGCCAUGCCGCGUGUAUGAAGAAGGCCUUCGGGUUGUAAAGUACUUUCAGUCGUGAGGAAGGUGUUAAGGUUAAUAACCUUAGCAAUUGACGUUAGCGACAGAAGAAGCACCGGCUAACUCCGUGCCAGCAGCCGCGGUAAUACGGAGGGUGCGAGCGUUAAUCGGAAUUACUGGGCGUAAAGGGCACGCAGGCGGUUAAUUAAGUUGGAUGUGAAAUCCCCGGGCUUAACCUGGGAAUGGCAUUCAAGACUGGUUAGCUAGAGUCUUGUAGAGGGGGUAGAAUUCCAUGUGUAGCGGUGAAAUGCGUAGAGAUGUGGAGGAAUACCGGUGGCGAAGGCGGCCCCUGGGACAAAGACUGACGCUCAUGUGCGAAAGCGUGGGGAGCAAACGAGGAUUAGAU
rnacentral:rRNA from 1 species